rnacentral:rRNA from 1 species
GAUGAACGCUGACAGAAUGCUUAACACAUGCAAGUCGAUGGGGAAGUGGUGCUUGCACCAUGGUAACCAUGGCGGACGGGUGAGUAACGCGUAAGGAACUUGCCUGCGGGACUGGGAUAACAGCAGGAAACUGCUGAUAAUACCGGAUAAGGUCAUUAAGCUGCAUAGCUUAGUGAUGAAAGGAGACGCCUGCGGAGAGCCUUGCGUCCUAUUAGCUAGUUGGAGGGGUAACGGCCCACCAAGGCGAAGAUAGGUAGCCGGCCUGAGAGAGUGGACGGCCACAAGGGGACUGAGAUACGGCCCUUACUCCUACGGGAGGCAGCAGUGGGGAAUAUUGGACAAUGGGGGCAACCCUGAUCCAGCAAUUCUGUGUGGACGAAGACGGUUUUCGGAUUGUAAAGUGCUUUCAGCAGGGAAGAAGGAAGUGACGGUACCUGCAGAAGAAGCGACGGCUAAAUACGUG